rnacentral:rRNA from 1 species
UACGUAGGGCGCAAGCGUUGUCCGGAAUUAUUGGGCGUAAAGAGCUCGUAGGCGGCUUGUCACGUCGGGUGUGAAAGCCCGGGGCUUAACCCCGGGUCUGCAUUCGAUACGGGCUGGCUAGAGUGUGGUAGGGGAGAUCGGAAUUCCUGGUGUAGCGGUGAAAUGCGCAGAUAUCAGGAGGAACACCGGUGGCGAAGGCGGCUCACUGGGCUCUACCUGACGCUGAGGCGCGAAAGCGUGGGGAGCGAACCGG